rnacentral:misc_RNA from 1 species
ACCUUGCAGUCUUUGACAACAUUGUAUGUCUCUCUCUCUCCCCUCCCUCCCACCUAACUUUCAAGUCUCAAUCUCCUCUUUCUUUUCUCUUUUAAUAAUGGCAUAAAGAAACAUUAAUUCAUAUUUGCAGAAAAUGGGAUAAUGCUAUGUCUGUAUUCUUUUUGGUGUUUAAUUCAAACCAUGCUAGAAUAUCCUACACCUGUAAGCAAGAGAGGAAGAAUCCAAAUACAAAAAUGGAAUAUGAAAUACAAAUUAAAAUAGGA